rnacentral:lncRNA from 1 species
GCCACAGCUAGCAUCACCUUAAGAAAGAACACCAGCGGGAGAAAUCUUAUUCUUUUCUUUCCUACCACAGGCCCCUGUCCCAGGGUGUCGGAGAUUCAAGAUUACCUCUGUAGCAGUUGCUCAUCAACAGGCUCAACACCAGUAUGAAGUGAGUACAGGUGCUGAAGAUUACUGGGAAUUUUAAUGCUGUCUGUUGACUUUGCAAUGAGAACUGUUUCAUGCUGUUGAGAUGUCUAUGUUCAUGGAAAAGAAUAGACCUGCUCA